UUCAACAUAAUCAUAACAACACUCUUCAUUUUUAAGCUGCCAUUUCAUUUCUAAAAUACCUUUCUAUAAAUAUAAAUCCAAUCAUUACACUUCUAAAAUACAUAGUUUCAUCGCUCCCCCUCUUCCAUCUGCAUUUGGUCUCUUCCGGAACCUUUAUAAGGUGUUCAGGCCCCCGGGGAAUCUUUUAGCCUGAACACCCUGCAGAGGAAGAGACAGAGGACACCAUCAGUUCCAGCUGAGGUGCCACUGGACAAAACACAAACAAUAAAAUACUUCAAUUUG